rnacentral:lncRNA from 1 species
AGAAGAAGCAACAUCUUCUUUAUAAUACACCCUAAAACACUAUUCACUUCAGGCAGUUUUUGCAGUUCAGAAUAGUUUGAGCCCUUCUGAAUGUCCGUUUGAGCUCAAAUUUGACAGAGAAGCUCAGUUUAACGUACUGAGUAAGAAUAUAUUUUAAGUUUUCAGUUUCGACCCCAUUUGGUCACCGAAAACUGUACCGAACUGUAAUCUUUAUCAGAUAGCUGUCGGAUUUUAUUUCUCACUCUACGGGUGUCAGAAAAGUAUGAAACUUUAAAUCUAGUCUCAUAAAAAUAUUUCUGACUUAUCCUCUAAUUUUCAUAAUUUUCUGAGACUGUGCAUUUUCUGCCUAUUUAUCUGUCCCGUUUCCAACAAAAAAUUCUAGAUCUUCUGUUUUCAUUCCGAUUUCAGCACAAGUCACUUCUGACUUAUGUUUUACUCCUCUAAAUCCAAUAAAAAUAGUAUCUCACACUAUUUUUAUUUAUUUUUAUUUUUAUAUUUAAAAUCCGGUAUAUUACAUUCCACAGCAACCUUAUCGGAACCAUAAUGGCUUUCCAACUAAAUGUACACCGUAACUUCAUAAUUUUAGAAGUCCGGUACCUUACAAACCAUUUCAUGAUAUGCAUUUUCAUACGGCUAACGAUCAUUAGAGAUGAUGCAUGCCUCUAAGCACUCCUUAGGCGCCGGAUGAUGCAAUGCAUAGUACAACAAUCAUUCUAUUUAAAAGUGCUCCCCACUUGGAAGUUUUGUUUUUAAACUCUAAUUCAAUCAUCAAUGAAAAUCAUUCGAAAACCUUUUUAAAAUUGUUUCCCACACGAAAACUCUAUUUUAAAAAUCAGCUACCUCGAGGGGUAGAAAACCACGAUGCGUAAAUCCAUAAAUACGAGAACCAAAAACCACAGAUCUGAAAACUCCAAUCUCAUGCAUCAUAGUAAAUCAUCCACUAAAACCAAUUCACGAAUAUUCAAACAUCAAUAUGAUCAUCUAACUGAACCAUUUAUUAUUAAAAUUACUAAGUGCCGAAAUGAAAGUAACCAGGGUGACGGUUGCUAUAUCAGACUAGCUAGAUCGUCCCCCCGUCGAGCCCAAAAUCCAACUCCUC